rnacentral:tRNA from 1 species
UAGAUGGAUGCUCUCUGGGUUGGGCGCUUAGCUGUUAACUAAGAGUUAGUAGGAUCGAAGCCUACCCUUCUAG